UUGAUAUUGGAGGAUAUGCACAAGGUGAUAUAGUCUAUUUCGGUUCUACAAAAUCCGGUUAUAGGCUAAUAUUUCUAGCAAUGAAAACGAAUAAAUAAUAAUGAUUAGUAGACAAAAGAAAACUUUUGUGUUUAUUACCUCUAACUCGAAUUCAACACAAGGAAUCCACUUGUUGCGGAGAAGGUAGUCAACUUCCUUAGCCAAUUCGACGUCACUAAGGUCAGGGAGGUAAGAUAGAGUCUCAAACUUCUUCUUUCCAAUUGGUGGCCACACCUAUAAUCCCCAAAUCCAAUUCCAAAUUAAUAUAUCCUAUGUUUUGUUUUAUUGCACAUGACAAAAGACAGUUUUUAUUGAUGAUAUUACCUUCAUGCAGCUAACUCUUCCCCCGUUGCUUGCGAUGGAAGUGAUGUCCUUGUUGGUCUUGCGGGUGACCGGGAAUGCAGCGGAUGACUUCAAGCCGGUGAAUGGAGCGACCAUGGUGGCCUGAGCCGGGGAUGUAACCACAGCGGCGGAGGAGAGCAUAGAGGAAGCCAUUACUACUUCUUGUUGUUUCUCUUCUUCUUUUGCUCGUUUACUUACUGACUUGUUUUCCUACUGGUGUUGUCAUCUUUAUAUAAUGAGAACCCCCUAAAGGCGAAAAGCCCUCAUGAUCAAAGGGUCCAUGAUUCAUGAUAACGUCGUUUACUGCCA
rnacentral:sRNA from 1 species